rnacentral:rRNA from 1 species
AGAGUUUGAUCCUGGCUCAGGAUGAACGCUAGCUACAGGCUUAACACAUGCAAGUCGAGGGGCAGCAUGGUCUUAGCUUGCUAAGGCUGAUGGCGACCGGCGCACGGGUGAGUAACACGUAUCCAACCUGCCGUCUACUCUUGGCCAGCCUUCUGAAAGGAAGAUUAAUCCAGGAUGGGAUCAUGAGUUCACAUGUCCGCAUGAUUAAAGGUAUUUUCCGGUAGACGAUGGGGAUGCGUUCCAUUAGAUAGUAGGCGGGUAACGGCCACCUAGUCAACGAUGGAUAGGGGUUCUGACGAGGAAGGUCCCCCANAUUGGAACUGAGACACGGUCCAAACGUCCUACGGGAGCA